AAAGUGCAGUUAUGGAAGGAGAAGCUAGCUCCACUAUAUAGCAAGUCUUAUGCUGCUGAAGGCAACCACAGUGGUAAAGCGUAGACAGUGAAACAUUCAAGCAAAAACUAAAUGGUGAACGUAAUAGCCCCUAAAGUGUGAUGUAGUGGAAGUCGAUAUGUUCUACCACAUAGUAGGCAAAAGAAGAUUGGAGGUCAAAUUAGUGAAAAUCCAAAAAUUUUCAACCACUGGAGUCGCAGGUGU
rfam:Orientia tsutsugamushi str. TT76 ut76.contig.16_1, whole genome shotgun sequence.